AGAGUUUGAUCCUGGCUCAGAAUGAACGUUGGCGGCGUGGAUUAGGCAUGCGAGUCGUACGAGAACCCGCAAGGGGGAAAGUGGCGAACGGGGUAGUAAUGCGUAGGUGACGUGCCCUGCGGUCGGGGAUAGCUUAGGGAAACUUAAGGUAAUACCCGAUGACCCCAUGAGGUUUGAAUACCUUAUGGGCAAAGGUGUGAUUCCACCACAGGAGCGGCUUGCGUGGUAUUAGCUAGUUGGUGAGGUAACGGCUCACCAAGGCUUCGAUGCCUAGGGGAUGUUAGCGCAUGAUCCCCACCACUGGGACUGAGAUACUGCCCAGACACCUACGGGUGGCUGCAGUCGAGAAUCUUCGGCAAUGGGCGAAAGCCUGACCGAGCGACGCCGCGUGUGGGAUGAAGGCCCUUGGGUUGUAAACCACUGUCAGAGGGGAUGAAAUGCCGGAGGGUUCUCCCUCCGGUUUGACAUAGCCUCAGAGGAAGCACGGGCUAAGUUCGUGCCAGCAGCCGCGGUAAGACGAACUGUGCAAACGUUAUUCGGAAUCACUGGGCUUGAAGAGUGCGUAGGCGGUUUCGUAAGUAGGGUGUGAAAGCCCCCGGCUCAACCGGGGAAUUGCGUCCUAAACUGCGAGGCUGGAGUGAGGUAGGGGUGUGUGGAACUUCCAGUGGAGCGGUGAAAUGUGUUGAUAUUGGAAGGAACGCCGGUGGCGAAAGCGACACACUGGGCCUUGUCUGACGCUGAGGCACGAAAGCCAGGGGAGCAAACGGGAUUAGAUACCCCGGUAGUCCUGGCCGUAAACG
rnacentral:rRNA from 1 species